GCGCCCGUAGCUCAGUGGGUAGAGCUAUGGAACGGUGAUCCACAGUCCGGUUCAAGUCGGCGGUCGCU